rnacentral:rRNA from 1 species
GAUGAACGCUGGCGGCGUGCCUAAUACAUGCAAGUCGAGCGAACAGACGAGGAGCUUGCUCCUCUGACGUUAGCGGCGGACGGGUGAGUAACACGUGGAUAACCUACCUAUAAGACUGGGAUAACUUCGGGAAACCGGAGCUAAUACCGGAUAAUAUAUUGAACCGCAUGGUUCAAUAGUGAAAGACGGUUUUGCUGUCACUUAUAGAUGGAUCCGCGCCGCAUUAGCUAGUUGGUAAGGUAACGGCUUACCAAGGCAACGAUGCGUAGCCGACCUGAGAGGGUGAACGGCCACACUGGAAAUGAGACACGGUCAAGACUACUACGGGAGGCAGCAGUAGGGAAUCGUCCGCAAUGGGCGAAAGCCGGACGGAGCAACGCCGCGUGAGUGAUGAAGGUCUUCGGAUCGUAAAACUCUGUUAUUAGGGAAGAACAAAUGUGUAAGUAACUAUGCACGUCUUGACGGUACCUAAUCAGAAAGCAACGGCUAACUACGUG